rnacentral:rRNA from 1 species
AUAGGGGGUAGAGCACUGUUUCGGCUAGGGGGUCAUCCCGACUUACCAAACCGAUGCAAACUCCGAAUACCUAUGAGUACUAUCCGGGAGACAGACUGCGGGUGCUAACGUCCGUAGUCAAGAGGAAAACAAUCCAGACCGCCAGCUAAGGCCCCAAAAUCAUAGUUAAGUGGGAAACGAUGUGGGAAGGCAUAGACAGCUAGGAGGUUGGCUUAGAAGCAGCCACCCUUUAAAGAAAGCGUAAUAGCUCACUAGUCGAGUCGGCCUGCGCGGAAGAUGUAACGGGGCUAAAACUAUGUGCCGAAGCUGCGGAUUUGACAUUAGUCAAGUGGUAGGGGAGCGUUCUGUAAGCCGAUGAAGGUGUAUUGAGAAGUAUGCUGGAGGUAUCAGAAGUGCGAAUGCUGACGUGAGUAACGACAAAACGGGUGAAAAACCCGUUCGCCGAAAGACCAAGGGUUCCAGUCCAACGUUAAUCGGGGCUGGGUGAGUCGACCCCUAAGGCGAGGCCGAAAGGCGUAGUCGAUGGGAAAAUGGUUAAUAUUCCAUUACUUCUGUGUAAUGCGAUGAGAGGACGGAGAAGGCUAAAUCAGCCUGGCGUUGGUUGUCCAGGUGAAAGGAUGUAGGCAUGUAUCUUAGGCAAAUCCGGGGUACUCUAUGCUGAGAUCUGAUAGCAAGCUGUACUUGUACAGCGAAGUGGUUGAUGCCAUGCUUCCAGGAAAAGUCUCUAAGCUUCAGUUACACAGGAAUCGUACCCGAAACCGACACAGGUGGUCAGGUCGAGUAGACCAAGGCGCUUGAGAGAACUCUGCUGAAGGAACUAGGCAAAAUGGUACCGUAACUUCGGGAGAAGGUACGCUGUUGUUGGUGAUGGAACUCGCUUCCUGAGCUGACGACAGCCGCAGAAACCAGGCCGCUGCAACUGUUUAUUAAAAACAUAGCACUCUGCAAACACGAAAGUGGACGUAUAGGGUGUGAUGCCUGCCCGGUGCUGGAAGGUUAAUUGAUGGGGUUAGCGUAAGCGAAGCUCUUGAUCGAAGCCCCAGUAAACGGCGGCCGUAACUAUAACGGUCCUAAGGUAGCGAAAUUCCUUGUCGGGUAAGUUCCGACCUGCACGAAUGGCAUAAUGAUGGCGGCGCUGUCUCCAGCAGAGGCUCAGUGAAAUCGAAAUCGCUGUGAAGAUGCAGUGUACCCGCGGCUAGACGGAAAGACCCCGUGAACCUUUACUGCAGCUUGACACUGAACUUUGACCUUACUUGUGUAGGAUAGGUGGGAGGCUUUGAAGCUGGAACGCUAGUUCCAGUGGAGCCGUCCUUGAAAUACCACCCUGGUAAUGUUGAGGUUCUAACUCUGUCCCGUGAUCCGGGACGAGGACCGUGUCUGGUGGGUAGUUUGACUGGGGCGGUCUCCUCCUAAAGAGUAACGGAGGAGUACGAAGGUGCGCUCAGCGUGGUCGGAAAUCACGCGUAGAGUAUAAAGGCAAAAGCGCGCUUAACUGCGAGACCCACAAGUCGAGCAGGUACGAAAGUAGGUCUUAGUGAUCCGGUGGUUCUGUAUGGAAGGGCCAUCGCUCAACGGAUAAAAGGUACUCUGGGGAUAACAGGCUGAUACCGCCCAAGAGUUCAUAUCGACGGCGGUGUUUGGCACCUCGAUGUCGGCUCAUCUCAUCCUGGGGCUGAAGCAGGUCCCAAGGGUAUGGCUGUUCGCCAUUUAAAGAGGUACGCGAGCUGGGUUUAGAACGUCGUGAGACAGUUCGGUCCCUAUCUACCGUGGGCGCUGGAAAUUUGAGAGGAUCUGCUCCUAGUACGAGAGGACCAGAGUGGACGAACCUCUGGUGUACCGGUUGUGACGCCAGUCGCAUCGCCGGGUAGCUAUGUUCGGAAGGGAUAACCGCUGAAAGCAUCUAAGCGGGAAGCCUACCUCAAGAUAAGAUUUCCCUAGGACUUUAUGUCCUCUAAAGAGCCGUUCGAGACUAGGACGUUGAUAGGUUGGAUGUGGAAGCAUAGUGAUAUGUGAAGCUGACCAAUACUAAUUGCUCGUGAGGCUUGACUAUACAACACCCAAGCAGUUG